UACGAAGGAUGCAAGCGUUAUCCGGAUUCAUUGGGUUUAAAGGGAGCGUAGGUGGCCUUGUAAGUCAGUGGUGAAAUCCUGUCGCUUAACGAUAGAAUUGCCUCUGAUACUGCAGGGCUUGAGUACAGUUGCCGUUGGCGGAAUAUGACAUGUAGUGGUGAAAUGCUUAGAUAUGUCAUAGAACACCGAUUGCGAAGGCAGCUGACGAAACUGUAACUGACACUGAGGCACGAAAGUGUGGGGAGCAAACAGG
rnacentral:rRNA from 1 species